rnacentral:rRNA from 1 species
UUACGGAGAGUUUGAUUCUGGCUCAGAACGAACGCUGGCAGCGUGGAUUAGGCAUGCAAGUCGAACGAGAAUCGGUCUUAUAGCAAUAUAAGAUUGAGGACAGUGGCGAAAGGGUGAGUAUCGCGUGGGCAAUCUGCCCCUGGGUUCGGGACAACCCGCCGAAAGGCAGGCUAAUACCGGAUAUGGUUGGGACACGCAUGUGUCCCUGAUUAAAGACGGGGAUCCUUCGGGACCUGUCGCCAAGGGAGGAGCCCGCGUCCCAUCAGCUAGUUGGUGAGGUAACGGCCCACCAAGGCUUACGGGUAGCUGGUCUGAGAGGAUGGUCAGCCACACUGGGACUGAGACACUGCCCAGACUCCUACGGGAGGCUGCAGUCGAGGAUCAUUUGCAAUGGGCGCAAGCCUGACAGUGCGACGCUGCGUGGAGGAUGACGGCCUUCGGGUUGUAAACUCCUGUCAUUCGGGAAAAAUAUGCCGGGCAAUAAUACUGCUUGGAAUUGAUGUUACCGAAGGAGGAAGCCACGGCUAACUCUGUGCCAGCAGCCGCGGUAAUACAGAGGUGGCGAGCGUUGUUCGGAUUUACUGGGCGUAAAGGGUGCGUAGGUGGCUUGGUAUGUCGGAUGUGAAAGCCCACCGCCUAACGGUGGAACGGCAUUCGAAACUGCUGAGCUUGAGUGCAGGAGAGGAGAGCGGAAUUCUUGGUGUAGCGGUGAAAUGCGUUGAUAUCAAGAAGAACACCGGUGGCGAAGGCGGCUCUCUGGAAUGUAACUGACACUGAGGCACGAAAGCUGGGGGAGCAAACAGGAUUAGAUACCCUGGUAGUCCCAGCUGUAAACGGUGUACACUUGGCGUGGGGAGAAUUGACCCUCUCCGUGCCGAAGCUAACGCGUUAAGUGUACCGCCUGGGGAGUACGAUCGCAAGAUUAAAACUCAAAGAAAUUGACGGGGGCCCGCACAAGCGGAGGAGCAUGUGGCUUAAUUCGAUGCAACGCGAAGAACCUUACCAGGGCUUGACAUGUAACUGCAGGCCUCGUGAAAGCGAGGCGGCCUUCGAGGGUGUUACACAGGUGCUGCAUGGCUGUCGUCAGUUCGUGCCGUGAGGUGUUGGGUUAAGUCCCGCAACGAACGCAACCCUUGUGUCCAGUUGCCACCACCGAUGCAAAUCGGUGCGCACUCUGGACAGACUGCCCGUUUUACGGGAGGAAGGUGGGGACGACGUCAAGUCAGUAUGGCCUUUAUGCCCUGGGCUGCACACGUGCUACAAUGGCCGGUACAGAGGGAAGCUAAGCCGCGAGGCAGCGCAAAUCUCAUAAAACCGGCCCCAGUUCGGAUUGAAGUCUGCAACUCGACUUCAUGAAGCCGGAUUCGCUAGUAACGGCGUAUCAGCUACGACGCCGUGAAUACGUUCCCGGGCCUUGUACACACCGCCCGUCACAUCAUGAAAGCCGUCUGCACCCGAAGUCGCCGUGCCAACCCGCAAGGGAGGCAGGUGCCGAAGGUGUGGGUGGUGAUUGGGAUGAAGUCGUAACAAGGUAGCCGUAGGGGAACCUGCGGCUGGAUCACCUCCUUUCUAAGGAG